AUACGGAGGGUCCAAGCGUUAUUCGGAUUCAUUGGGUUUAAAGGGUCCGCAGGCGGGAAAAUAAGUCGGUGGUGAAAGCCUGCAGCUCAACUGUAGAACUGCCAUUGAAACUGUUUUUCUUGAGUAUAGAUGAAGUGGGCGGAAUAUAUCAUGUAGCGGUGAAAUGCAUAGAUAUGAUAUAGAACACCGAUUGCGAAGGCAGCUCACUAAACUAUUACUGACGCUCAGGGACGAAAGCGUGGGGAGCGAACAGGAUUAGAAACCCUAGUAGUCC
rnacentral:rRNA from 1 species